GUGUGUGUGUAUGGAGGAGGAAAUAAAGUCCUUUUUUUGCUCUCUCUAAGACCAGUGGUCCAGGAAGUAGCUGUGGCUACACUUUUUACCCAUAGCUGCAGGAAAAGGUGAUUUGGGCCCUGAGCCAGACCGCAGGGGUGCAGCAGAGGAUGAAAUCUUCCAGGGACAUCAUCUGUCUGAAGUGCCAGGACCAUUGACCCGCCUGCAGCUUGUGUGGCUAAUAUGGUGAAACAAAACCUGGAUUUAAGCCACAAAAGUCUAGAUUCUGAAUCCUGGGUGCAGACUCUACCUUUGCCACCGACAGGUCUUUUCUAAUUGGACUCUAUGAUGAUGUUAGGGAUCAGAAAGAAUAUGUAUUAUCUCCCCAUAUUUGAAGUGCAGUGGAUGGAGUGCUGGACCUGAAGUUAGGAAGACUCAUCUUCCUCAAAUCCAUCCUCAGCCACUUACUGUGUAACCUGGGCAAGUCGCUUAGCUCAUGUACCUUGAUUUCUUCAUAUGUAAAUUGAGCAGGAGAAGGAAAUAACAAACAA